AGUGAACGCUGGCGGUAGGCCUAACACAUGCAAGUCGAACGGCAGCACAGUAAGAGCUUGCUCUUACGGGUGGCGAGUGGCGGACGGGUGAGGAAUACAUCGGAAUCUACUUUUUCGUGGGGGAUAACGUAGGGAAACUUACGCUAAUACCGCAUAUGACCUACGGGUGAAAGCAGGGGAUCUUCGGACCUUGCGCGAUUGAAUGAGCCGAUGUCGGAUUAGCUAGUUGGCGGGGUAAAGGCCCACCAAGGCGACGAUCCGUAGCUGGUCUGAGAGGAUGGUCAGCCACACUGGAACUGAGACACGGUCCAGACUCCUACGGGAGGCAGCAGUGGGGAAUAUUGGACAAUGGGCGCAAGCCUGAUCCAGCCAUACCGCGUGGGUGAAGAAGGCCUUCGGGUUGUAAAGCCCUUUUGUUGGGAAAGAAAAGCAGCAGGUUAAUACCCCGCUGUUCUGACGGUACCCAAAGAAUAAGCACCGGCUAACUUCGUG
rnacentral:rRNA from 1 species